ACGAUCUCAGCGCCGUAGAAACGGGUGCGGUCUUCUGAAAACACUCGCUCUCUCGACAAGUGGAAAAACAACUGCCAGACAUUAAAAACCAAACAAACAAACCGUCAGAACAGAAUGAGGUCAAAACACAUCCAGUAAAAAUCAGCACCAGUCCCAGUCUGG